GUGGGGAAUAUUGGACAAUGUGGGGAACCCUGAUCCAGCCAUGCCGCGUGUGUGAAGAAGGCCUUUUGGUUGUAAAGCACUUUAAGCGAGGAGGAGGCUACCGAGAUUAAUACUCUUGGAUAGUGGACGUUACUCGCAGAAUAAGCACCGGCUAACUCUGUGCCAGCAGCCGCGGUAAUACAGAGGGUGCAAGCGUUAAUCGGAUUUACUGGGCGUAAAGCGCGCGUAGGUGGCUAAUUAAGUCAAAUGUGAAAUCCCCGAGCUUAACUUGGGAAUUGCAUUCGAUACUGGUUAGCUAGAGUAUGGGAGAGGAUGGUAGAAUUCCAGGUGUAGCGGUGAAAUGCGUAGAGAUCUGGAGGAAUACCGAUGGCGAAGGCAGCCAUCUGGCCUAAUACUGACACUGAGGUGCGAAAGCAUGGGGAGCAAACAGGAUUAGAAACCCGGGUAGUCC
rnacentral:rRNA from 1 species